CAGCACCUUGCACUUGGUCUUGUUAAACCACAUGAAGUUCCUAUGGGCCUGCUUCUCCAGCUAACAUUUGGAGCUAUCCCUGUGAGUAUCCUUCCAGGAAUACUCCUUGGCAGUCUGCAAAGAAGAGACUCCAUGCCUUCAACUUUUUCACCUUGGUGUUGGGAUGUUGUUGGAGCCUUUCUUACCUUAAGUGACAUGAGCUUGACAGGUGUCUCAAAUCAAUAGUUCUAACAGAUGUAACUUCAUUGAUGUGCUCUAUUUAUUUGACACACAGCAUAUUUUCUGUGGUUUAAUUUAUUUUUUCAAAUAAUGACAAUUUUUCCUCAUUUACUGUUGUUUCUCUUUUCACCCCUCUUUCCUAGGUAGUUGUAAUUCCUGGCUGCUUGCAACUACGUGUAAUAUGAUGAACAGAGCUAAAAUCGAAAAAGCUAUUUUUUGAGGCUUUUGACUUUUAGUGUUUUUUGUAAAUCAUAGUGAAAUGUCUGUCCUUGAAAACUGUAUCAUUUGUGGAAUCAGUGGGUUAUUUUUGGUUCUCAGCUCCUAAAAGAUGGAAUUUUAAAAACUUUUGGAGAAACUUUCUUGUAAAGAAAGUUAACAUCAGGGGAAGGUGAACCUCACAUAGAAAGAUGAUCUCAUUCUUGUUUUCUCUCAUCAUCUUAUGUCUCAUCACAUCAACCUCUUGUCUGUAGCUGAGCUUUUUAUACCUCUAAGUUCCACAAAGAUUGAGUUUCAAAUGUUAUAAUGCUAAUAACUGGCAGCUGAGAUGCCUGUCACUUUUACUUUAAAACAAAAGACACCUUUUUGAUAAAACAGUUGUAAUACUUGUAAAAGGCAUGUUAGAAGCAUGAAAUCUUAUGACAACUUUGUCAUGUGUCCUCAUUUUAGACAGGUAAAUUGUCUUAAAUUAGCUCAUGCAGUUCCUAAAAACAGUGUUUUGCACUAGUCAAUACAUUUUAUAUUCCUCCUCUUCAAAGGCUUCUGAAGUUGACAAUUUUUCCCCCUCUGUACAAAGAUUAGAUCAAUUUUCCAGAUACUUUCCUAAAUUCCAAAAAAAGGAAUAGGUAAGUGUGACAUGCUUGUCCAGACCCUUUUUAAAAAGCUGUAUGUAUACAAUGCAAUCAAAGUGUUUGCUGAUACACAUGUACAGACAGAGUAGUUUAAUAUAGGAGUGAUGCACAUUAUCUUUGUGAUCAUUCUCUGGAGGUUGCAUUAGUAAAGAAGUAAAAGUCCUUUCAUAUCCUUUGUCUUCAAAGGACAGUAGCCAAUACAGCAAAAUACUGCAGAGAGUUGAGGUUUUGUUGCCUAAUAGGACAUCAUCAUCAUGCCAUAGCAAAACCAGUAAGUGUCUGUAAUAGCAAUAAGUUCUAUUCCUGUGUAACUUGCUGCACCCCAUUAAACUUCAUCAGUUCCCCUAGUGUUUAAAUUGCAUAGGUUUGGAUGCAUGCCUCAAGUGUGCAUUUGGCCUCUGGUAACUGUUUAUAGCAAUCUUUCUUUUCUCUGAUUUCUUCUGCAGAGGUUCUUGUGUAAGAAAUAUGUGUGGGGGAGAAAGAGUUAUCAACAAGCCAAUGCUUCUCUCUAGCCUCCUAAUGCAUCUAGGAAUUACUUUCCUUUUUUCUUCUUUAUGAUGGGUUGGUGAUAAGGUUUUUCUGGACUUUCACAUGCGGUUUAGAUCUCCAUGAUAUGGAGAUGUGGCUGAGAUAGAAGUGCACAGGCUGGUACUUCCCUGAUGACCUUGAUUGACAAUUCUUUUGCUUCCUGGUAGGUGGGAGCCGUAACCCUUAGUAUAAGGACUCUGUUGUAGGCUGGAGGAAGAGGAAGACUUCAAUAAAGAGGAUAACUGGUGCUCUCCCCACUUUCCUGGUUGCACAGUGGGACUUUUCCCACUGCUGCUGAUGCCCAGAUGGUUUCCU